rnacentral:tRNA from 1 species
GAAAUUUUAGUUUAAGAAAAACGUUUCAUUUACAUUGAAAUAAUUUAUUUAUUAGUAAAAAUUUUA